AGGCUGAACCUCUGGACAUUAAAAAGAGUAUUCAAGGCUGGGCGCGGUGGCUCAAACCUGUAAUCCCAGCAUUUUGGGAGGCUGAGGCGGGCGGAAUCACGAGGUCAAGAGAUCAAGACCACUCUGGCUAACAUGGUGAAGCCCGGUCUCUACUAAAAAUACAAAAAAAUUAGCUGGGCAUGGUGGCAGGCGCCUGUAGUCCCAGCUACUUGGGAGGCUGAGGCAGGAGAAUGGUGUGAACCCGGGAAGCGGAGCUUGCAGCAAGCCGAGAUCGCGCAACUGCACCCCAGCCUCGGCGAUAGAGCAAGACUCCGCCUAACAAAAAAAAGGAAAGGAAAAGAAAAGAAAAGAGUCUUCACAAUGACGGCUUUUUCACAACAUGAAGAAUAGACUAGGUUUUCUCAUCCUUCAAAUGGGAAUGAAAAUAAAAUGACCUUGCAAUGCUCUUGUGAAGCUCAACUUGGAAAAUCAAUGUGAAGUGUUUAAUACACUGCCUAGGACCAGUCAACCUGACCCUUCCUUCCACGAACCCGAACCACCUUAAAAAUGAAGGGCCUGGCUGGGUGCGGUGGCUCAUGCCUAUAAUCCCAGCACUUUGGGAGGCUGAGGAGGGUGGAUCAUUUGAGGUCGGGAGUUUGAGAUCAGCCUGGCCAAUGUGGUGAAACCCC
rnacentral:lncRNA from 1 species